UCCCUACUUCCUCUGAUCUCCCUCAGCAGAGCCCACAGGAGCAGCCUGGAUUCCUCGCAGCAUCCCCUUGGCCUCUUGCAAACGUUGGGACUCUUGAGGAGAUGAUUGAGAUUGCAUGGCAGAAGUGUCAGGAGUACCAAUCUAAGUUCUUCAUGUGGUAUUGUGUUACCCUGUUGUGCACACAGAGUAGGGCACAGCCCAUCUCUCCACCAGUGAAGCCCAUCGUGGCUGAG